AGCUCAAAUUUUAAAUCUGCUAGGUUUUACUUAUCAGAAUUGUAAUUUGAAGAAGCGCAUAUCACGUUUUCGUUCGGGUUCAAGUUCCUUGGAAUAGGACAUCAGAGAGGGUGAGAAUCCCGU
rnacentral:rRNA from 1 species